GACAAGUAUUUCUUUGGAUACGACUGUCGGGGCAACUGUAUUGACCGUUGUGAGGGUCAAGAUUGUGUGGAGAGAGUUACAGGAACCUGCCCAGCCAAAAAAAGUUAUAAUUCCUUAUAUUUCCUUCUACUUCUCCUGCUUAUCCCCAUCGCCAUCUUGUGUUAUUUACCUCAAAAGUAUAAACGCCAGAUCGAGUAUGCGGAAACAGAUUUGGACGAGUUUGAAAACAGUUUGCUGUCAGCCCCUGAUAAACAGGCGUUGAAGUCGACCUCGUCCAAGGCCAGCAGACGCACCGAAGCACGUACCGAAGCUGAGACAAUCAAUAGCGUGAUCUAGGAGGUCAUCCGGCGUUUUCCUCUAUUCAAAAUGAGCUCAUAUUUAAAUCACGAUUUUCAAGUAAUCGCAGUGCAUUCCCUUGCAUCAGUUUGACCCAGAUAUUCAGCCACGUUUGCCGCCAGAGACACCUUCACCAAAGAGAGAUUUUUUAAUAAAGAACAAAUAUCAAACCCGCACACCUACAA
rnacentral:sRNA from 1 species